UGACUUCUCCCCGCUUUCUUUGGCUUCAGGAGGAAAGCCUUCAAUGCAAUGUUUGCGUCCUUGAACGCUGGGUCACUGUGGACGUUCAUGAGCCGCUUCAACUCGACUAGCUUGCGAUGUAUUGCGGAACGGAAACCGAGCAAGCUUGAUGCAGAGUAGAACUUCACUCCAGCUUUCUUCGGACGGAAUUCGACGUAUGCGUGUCGCAGAAUGCUGUCGAUGGCGGCGUCGGACAGUUUCUCAAAUCGGCUGUCGACAGUCUUCUCCAAUACUUGGGCGUCUGCUGUCUCGACUCUCACGGAGCUUGUGAAGUUGACUUUGCGGACGCAAGCCGGGUCCACAUUCGCUUCCGCGACAGCGUCCUCGACCAAUUAUUAUUUGGUGUGCUGCAGCAAGUCAGCAGCGACAGCUUGGCGGAGCGACUCGCAAUAUUCCCCAGUACACCGCCAGCCAAUGACCAGAUGACUAUGUGGAUGCACUGCAGUGCGAUAUUGCACCCCGGCGAGUGAGCGUGCAAAUAACCUAUAUCUGCACGCUCACUUCGAAGCGAGCGUGCAAAUAACCUUUCUGACAUGUCACAUGACAAUCGACAUGGCAACAGCGAAUCCUAGCGCGACUUGCCGUGCUUUGAAUCAGCCACUGAAGACCUGUGAGCGCUUGCAGGUCUCCGAUUUUCCAAUCGGAGCACGCCCAGGCGUGCUCCGAUUGAAUCGGAGCACGCCUAGGCGUGCUCCGAUUCAGCCAUCAGAGGCCGCUUUUUUUUUUUUUUGGAGUCUCUCAGCCCGAAGAGCGAGAGACUGUUUCAGAUGGCAUCUCGCUCUGUAAAGCCCGGAACGCAAGCCUUCAAUGGUUUACCGCUGGGUAAGAACACCAUAAAGGCUAUGAUGAAAAGGAUCUCCAACAAAGCCAACCUCUCGAGAUCCUACACAAAUCAUUGUGUCCGCGCAACAGCAGUGCAGAAGCUUGUGGAUGCGGGCGUGUCGGAGACAGCGAUCAUGGGGACGACGGGACAUCGCCAGGUCCAGUCGUUGACCGCAUAUGCCAACAGGAAUUCAGAACAAAAGAGAAAAGAGAUGGCUGCAGUUCUGGAUGGAGAGUCUCCAACUGCAACCAAUGCUGCUACCCGUGCUCUUACAGCGCCAACAACGAGCGUUCAGCGAUCACAGCAGCAGACUGAGUUCCACGAUCCCGACAUUGAUGAGUACAUCGCAACUUGUGACCCAACAGUGCAAUCCCCAACUCACCAACGGUCUCUGAUGCAGAAAGCUACGAAGACCAUCAACUUUUCCGGAGCUCAGUUUGGUGCAAACUGCAAUGUUCACCUGCACCUGUAGGCUGUAGGCUGUAGUCACUGCGAAGAAGAGAAGCUGAACUGACCUGGUUUUUAGCUGACUAGACCGCCCUUGUUUUAUCUCUGUGUUGUGACUGUGUACAUUAGUCAUUAUGUAACAUGUCUGAAGUACUAAACUGG